UGCCAGCCGCCGCGGUAAUACGAAGGUGGCGAGCGUUGUUCGGAUUUACUGGGCGUAAAGAGCACGUAGGCGGUUAGGUAAGCCUCUUGGGAAAGCUCCUGGCUUAACCGGGAAAGGUCGAGGGGAACUACCUAGCUAGUGUCCGGUAGAGGUGAGUGGAAUUCUCGGUGUAGCGGUGAAAUGCGCAGAUAUCGAGAGGAACACCAUUAGCGAAGGCGGCUCACUGGGCCGGUACAGACGCUGAGGAGCGAAAGCGUGGGGAGCAAACAGGAUUAGAUA
rnacentral:rRNA from 1 species